rnacentral:tRNA from 1 species
CAAGAUGUAGCUUAACUAAAGCAUCUGGCUUACACCCAGAAGAUUUCAUAUAAACUGACCAUCUUGA